rnacentral:rRNA from 1 species
UAAGACGGAGGGCGCAAGCGUUGUUCGGAAUUACUGGGCGUAAAGGGCAGGUAGGUGGCCUGUUAAGUCUUCUGUGAAAAUCCGGAGCUCAACUCCGUGAAAUGCAGGAGAAACUGGCAGGCUUGAGACCGGUAGAGGCUAGCGGAAUUCCUGGUGUAGCGGUGGAAUGCGUAGAUAUCAGGAAGAACACCUGUGGCGAAGGCGGCUAGCUGGGCCGGUUCCGACACUGAACUGCGAAAGCGUGGGGAGCAAACAGGAUUAGAUACCCUGGUAGUCCACGCCGUAAACGAUGGGCACUAGAUGCCGGGCAUAUAGACGUGUUCGGUGUCGCAGCUAACGCAUUAAGUGCCCCGCCUGGGGAGUACGGUCGCAGGGCUG